AUGAAUUGCUUCAGAAAUGCAAUAUGUCUGCAUGGAAAACUGUUUGUAUAUUUGUCUUUAUACAUGUUGUGGUGAUAGAGACUAAAGUUAAACGACGUCUUUAUUCCUCGAAGUCUUGUGAUGAUGUAGCUAUAAUAGGAGCUGGUAUUGCUGGAACAUACGCUGGAUGGAGAUUAAGAAAACUACAUAAGCAAAUUACUGUGUACGAAUACUCAAAUAGAGUAGGUGGGAGAUGUUACACGACAAAAUUUCCAGAUAUUCCGGACAUUAAUGUUGAGCUCGGUGCUAUGAGGUUCAAUGCUAAAU